rnacentral:rRNA from 1 species
UACGAGUGCCCCAAGCGUUAUCCGGAAUUAUUGGGCGUAAAGGGUGUGUAGGUGGUCUUAUUAGUCUUUUGUUAAAGCUCCCGGCUUAACCGGGAAUCUGCAAAGGAAACGGUAAGACUAGAGGAUGCGAGGGGUGAGCGGAACUCAUGGUGUAGGGGUGAAAUCCGUUGAUAUCAUGGGGAACACCAGUGGCGAAGGCGACUCUCUGGACUAAAACUGACGCUGAGGUACGAAAGCGUGGGUAGCAAACAGG